ensembl:lncRNA novel transcript
ACUCCCACUGGAAUAGAAGCUUUCUGAGAGGUUCUGAUCGCCCUUAAGAAGCUCUGUGUGGCUGGAGGAUCGAAAACUUUGGGCACAAGCUGGAAGGUCAUUUACUGCAAACCACUAUCUCCCAGCUAAUCUGGCUUCUGCUCCUGAUUUUCUCACU